ACUCAAAUGAAUUGACGGGGACCCGCACAAGCAGUGGAGUAUGUGGUUUAAUUCGAAGCAACGCGAAGAACCUUACCAGGUCUUGACAUCCCGAUGAAAGCAUUAGAGAUAGUGCCCCUCUUCGGAGCAUCGGAGACAGGUGGUGCAUGGUUGUCGUCAGCUCGUGUCGUGAGAUGUUGGGUUAAGUCCCGCAACGAGCGCAACCCUUGAUGUUAGUUGCCAGCAGGUUAAGCUGGGCACUCUAACGUGACUGCCGGUGACAAACCGGAGGAAGGUGGGGAUGACGUCAAAUCAUCAUGCCCCUUAUGACCUGGGCUACACACGUACUACAAUGGCCGGUACAACGGGAAGCGAAACCGCGAGGUGGAGCGAAUCCUUAGAAGCCGGUCUCAGUUCGGAUUGCAGGCUGCAACUCGCCUGCAUGAAGUCGGAAUUGCUAGUAAUCGCGGAUCAGCAUGCCGCGGUGAAUACGUUCCCGGGUCUUGUACACACCGCCCGU
rnacentral:rRNA from 1 species